ACCCCGGGCUGCGGACGUCGGCAGGAGAGGCUGAUGCGCACAAAAGCACAGCGCAGAUGUCAGAAAAAUAACAAAACAGCAAGACUCGGGUCAGUCUCUCGAUGCCAUUGCCUUCAACGCAAGACUUUUUUUUUCUUUCCACCCCAUCUUUGCAGACGCAGAAGUAGAAGAAUUUAGUAAGUGGCUCUCGGUGUUACUGUCGUCCACACACGUAUCAGUAGAAGACCCUCACCGGCGAACAAUUUCAAUCCUUAUUUCGUUGUUGGUCUAUAAAAGGGACGGCACGCCAUCGCAGCCGUGCGUCCAACAGUCAAACUAUAACUUGCUGUCUGUUAGCUAACCAGUAGUGUGCUACCACGCCUCAGUCCAUUCUGUCCUUCUCCGGGCCCGAUCCUCGUCCAAGUCUCAGACUGAAUUUGUUUGUCGCCCGUUGCCAAGGAUUCUCGCCGUGUUUGGUGACCCUCGAACAAAAACUGUGGCUAAACAAGAGUUCUGCCUACUCUCCGAUCAAGAGUAUAAAUUAUUAUUUAUUUUCUUCUAUUUACUUUUUUUCCCCCGUCCUAACCCAAGUGUUUGAAUUCGAUUGGACGGCUCUCAAAAUCGAGCCAUCCGCCACAUCAAGUCGACUCUUGUCUGUCGCCAGUGUGUGUGUCGGUGUGCGUGUGUUUUCGGCACUGAUUAUUGAUCCGAACGGGGUAUAGUGGCAGCAUUUGAUAGAAGACUGUGCAACUGUAACAAGAAGGAAAAGGACAAGAGGACGGCAUAGAGAAAGAAGACGACGAUAUAAUGUGCGUUGGAAAAUGUUUUGGCCUCAGUCGUCGACAGCUGUAACACUAGCAACUUUGACUAAAAUUAGCUCAGAGCGACAGACGAACGCGAACACACAACCCGGACUAGUCGGACGUCUUGCGUCCGAGUAGGUCGCACUCGACCAGCUAGGCUACGGCCGUGCCCCAUGUUCAGUUAUUUCAGCAACAUCACUUCAUAAACUUAUUGAUCUCAGCGGACUUUGUUCGUUCGUAACCGACAAUUUCAUUUUGUCGGGGAACGAGACACUGAAAAGUGACUAGCGAAUUCACAAGGACAAAAAAUCUCAUUUAAAUUCUGUCCUUAAAUCUUCAGAAUUAUUGUGGAAGUUGGUUGGCUUUUUCUUAUGUGCCAGAAUGUACGUACGACGAGCUCGUAACAUGUGAUAUACGGCCCAGCCAAUUGUUAGCAAGCCGUCUCUCUCUUCCAGUCGACAACCCUUUCCUACUAACACUUGAUAGGCCACAUCUAUGGAUCGAUCUGAUCCCAGCCCAGUGCCGACAUUUCAGUCUGCAUUUCCUCAAAGUCAAACAAAAUCGUCGUGAAGCAAGCACAAGAAAGAGAGACCUAGAAAUUCAAUACGUUCAAUAAGGUCACCAGAAAAAUUUCAAACGACUUCAAAGACAGAAAUUCGAGAGAUGGUCAGUAUGAGUGGUGAUAGGCAGCGCAGCGCUUCAACCAGCGUCGUCCAAGAAGUCAGUACCAGCAAAGACUCGCCAUCAGCAUCGACGUCGACGGUGGCAGGUUCCAGCAAUUGCAGCAAAGAUAAGAAAAUGUCGGGCACUUCCAGUGGGCCGACGAUGGGCCACGUCCUUCCCAACAGCUUGGCCACCGUUUGCGGUAGCAACGGCAUGGCUCCCGCACCGAGCGCAGUCAACAGUUUAACAAGGAGGGCGACUGCAAACGCUGCUAAUCCGAGUGAACAAGGACAACUACACAAUGAAGAAUCACCCAAUCAUAUCGUAUACAGAAAGAUGGAGCAUAUAAUCGAGCGUAUGCAGGACGACAAUGCCGGCGUCAGCGUCAAGAAUGUUAAGACUUUUAUGAACAAAAUACCGUCAGUCUUCACCGGCACCGACUUAACCAACUGGAUGUUGAAGAAUUUGGACGUGACAGAUCAAGCCGAAGCACUUCAUUUAGCUCAUUUGAUGUCCGCUCACGGCUACUUCUUCCCCGUGGAAGACCACAUACUCACCGUUAAAAAUGACGGCACACUUUACCGUUUCCAGACCCCUUAUUUUUGGCCGAGCAAUUGCUGGGAGCCGGAAAACACGGACUACGCCGUCUACCUGUGCAAGCGGACGAUGCAAAACAAAGCGCGUCUCGAGCUGGCCGACUACGAAGCAGAGAACCUCGCCCGUCUUCAAAAGAUGUUCUCGAGGAAGUGGGAGUUCAUCUUUAUGCAAGCAGAGGCUCAGUCACGUGUUGACAAGAAACGCGAUAAGCUCGAACGCAAAGUCCUCGACAGUCAGGAGCGUGCCUUCUGGGAUGUUCAUCGGCCGGUGCCGGGCUGUGUCAACACGACAGAAAUGGACAUAAAAAAAGCCUGUCGGAUGCAUCGUCCAAUCAAAAGCGCCCGCCAUUUAUCCGUGGCCGUGGCAGGCGGUCGUAUUUCGCCAUCCGUCUCCGAAGUGGACAUCCAGUGUCCGGCAGCCACCAUUCAAAAAGAGAUCGAAUUCCUUCGGAAAAAGCUUGCGCGUACCAACAUCAAAGUUUCCAAAGUAGCCGAGUCGUACAUCAGUUUCUACGAGCAGUACGUCGAAUACGAUCCGUUCGUCACGUGCACCGAGCCGCUCAACCCGUGGGUUAGCGACACGCUUGACUUUUGGGAUCAAGACAAAUCCGGGAAAGAAAUCCAGUUGAAGCGGGUUCGUCGGUGGGCGUUCAGCUUGCAAGAGCUGUUGAAAGAUCCAGUGGGAAAGGAGCAUUUCACCAAAUUUCUCGAAAAGGAAUUUAGCAGCGAGAAUCUCAAGUUCUGGGAAGCGGCACAGGAUUUAAAAGCUCUACCCUCCAGUCAAGUUGGUGCACGGGCGAUGGAAAUCUGGAAUGAAUUCCUCGGACCGGAAGCAAAAUGCCCGGUCAAUGUCGAUUCCAAAUCUCACGAGGCCACACGUCUCGCCAUGGAUAAACCGGAUCGAUGGACUUUCGAUCGAGCUGCGGCUCACGUUUAUCACUUGAUGCGGAGCGACAGCUACUCGCGCUACUUGCGUUCCGAAAUGUACAAGGAUUUCCUCAGUGGUUCCAAGAAGAAGGUUGUAAGUCAUUUUUCUUUCAUUCCCAAAUAAACGUGAAUCAAACGGCCACCCAGACAACUCUGCCACCCCUCCUUUUCUGCCUGCAAGCGCUCCGCGCCAUCUAGAAUGUUUUUUUUUCUUAUCUCUCAAUCUCCCGACUACACAUCGCCAAUCUUUUCAUUUUCCGUUUCCAUGUGUUUUCUUUUUUUAGCGCCUGUCUUUUUUUCCUCCCUGCGUCUACCGUGUCAUUUCUCGUUAUUUAUUCUCCCGCCCAACCUGUUAUUACGCGUCCGCUCUUCCAUCAGGGUUCAGUCAAAGACAUUCGCGCUAUUGUGUCCCGGUUUACCAGAGGGAUGACAAAGCAUCUUCCGAAACAUUCUGAAUUCCAUAUAUCUUCUCCAUUUGCCCUGUCAUUUAUAUUUUUACCCCUCAUCUUGCCGGGAAGGUUUUUUUUUUAUUUAUUUAUAUUUUGGCUCUGCCAAUUCUACGCAGCGAUUACUUCACUCUCUUCUUGUGCGAGACAUUAAGCAUCCAGCUCAUCAACGUCACGAUGCCGCAAGUCUUCUAUUAUUAUUAUUAUUAUUAUUAUUGUUAUUAUUAUUAUUAUUAUUAUUAUUAUUUUCCAAUCAACAACGAUCAUUUCAAUCAAACCCAGUCACUUUUUUAACCCAUUUUCUUCCCGCUUUGCUGCCAGCCAUCUUGAACCCGUUGAUUGAGUUGUCUGUGGCUGAUUAUUGAAGCCUGCAUGCCACCUUCGAAAGAAAUCGCCAGAUUGAAAGACCGGUCGAAGUUUCAUCGUCCCACGCCUCUCCAACUUCAACCUCACUUCAAAUUGACCGAUGGUUGCAUAUGUUAUGGUCGCCAUCAACAAACUUUUAACAAGAUUUUGGGAAAGAUAAAUGGAUGGGACUGUUGCUAACAUGAUCAAGCAUACCAUACAUUUAAAAACGCAGAAUUAUGUUAGUAAAGCCACGCCAUCAAUUGCAAUAGUUCAUCCAAAACUUUCUCAUAUCUCCGAUCCUCUCAACAUCUGCUGGCCGCAUCUUCGAUAACAUACUCUGUAGUUUUGCCAUUUUUUUAAACCAAAUAUGCGUUGUAUCCACAUUUCCUCAGCCAAUAAUUCUACGUAGUUUCUUCCCUUCUGUUGUUUGCCACUUUCCCCCGCUGUUUCACUGUCUCAAGUGCGCAUCUUAAAGCAAACGGAGGAGGAUCCUUUCAGAACCACAUUGAUCUGAAUUGCUAUUAUUUCGGCCAAUUCAUCCAACAUCACAACAGCUGAUGUUAAAAUAAAUAGCUUUAGGUGUCUUUUGAACGCGAAAAAAACAGAACAAAAAAUAACUAAAAUAAUAAAAUAUAUAAAAAAAAAAAUUAAAAAAAUUAAACAAACCAAAAAAUCUUUAGGGAAGUUAAAGCAAUAUGUGGUCUCAUUUCUCCUCCAUAUUUCUGUUCCAUAAUGCAACUGUUUGAGGAUUGUGUCCUGUACAGCACCUCUCCUUUAUUAGGGGCGACGAUUACCUACGAUGUGAAAAAAAAAAACUAAUCGAAUAAUUAUAAAAAAUAAAAAACGAUGAUGGACUGUUUAUUGAUAUCAUGGCAGGGAACUAAUGAAUGUGAUGUGUGAUCGGGAUUUGCCCUUCUUUGUGUUAUUGUUAUCGCCGAGCAGAGGAUAACAAAUGUGUAGGUCACGUACGUUAACGUAGUUUCACAUGCAGUUGUCUCAAUAGUUCCAUUUUGUUUUUAAACAUGCCGUUCAUGUACAAAUAAUUUGGUAGGCCAAUACAUCUGAUAUCCAGCCGC